CGCUGUUCAAAACUCAUAAAUCCAUGGACAAAAAACAAAAUCGGGAUAACAAACUAAAACCGAGGGAAACGCAUUAAAUAUAAGAGGAGAACAACGACAUAACACUAAAAUGUAACACAUAUAGACAAAAUCCCACGAGAAAAACAAAUAUAACAUAUAUAUAUAACAUCAAAACCAAAUACAUGAAUUUGGGAUAGACAAGUACCGUGACACGUCUUAUCGCAAUGUGAAUUUACACUCAAAAAUAAGAGAAAACAAACGACACAACGUUAUAAUGUAAUACACACAGAAACGAACUAUAAUAUAACAAUGACCAUAUUCCUGACUUGGUACAGGGCAUUUUUAAAGGAAAAAAUGGUGGGUUGAACCUGGUUUUGUGGCAUGCCAAACCUCGCACUUUUAUGGU
rnacentral:lncRNA from 1 species